UCAGCUGGUGGCCGCAGCCGGGUGGUCACCACAACAAACACCGCUCCUGCUGCCACCAACCAGACUCCUCCAGCUGUUUCACCCUACUCCAGCUGUCUUACCCUCUCCUCCAGCUGUCCUACCCUACUCCAGCUGUCUCACCCUACUCCAGCUGCCUUAAACCCCGCCAGAACCUCACCCUAAACUACUACAGGGUGACUGGUGGACAGGAACGAGUCAAGAGCUGGUCUGAGCAUCCUCUCUUGCGAGACUCGAGGAGCCAAGAGGCUGUUUGGGAUGAGCAGAGAGCGGUGCUAGCAGCGAUAAUGUGCUAAUCUUGGGCGGCAGGUCAAACAUUACAUUUAUUUCGUAUUCUAAAGCUUUUUACAUGUGUGUUGACUCGAAUUAUUUCAUUGUUACGUUGGAAGAGUGGGAGCCACGUCUGAGAUGUCUUGGUCACUAGUCAACAGGGGCUUAGACCUGUUUGACAGUGAUUUGUCUGACAAGAGUAGUUGCCAAUCAAAUGUUAAUGGUAGUGCCAAGUCUGUGAAUGUUAGUACUCAGCGUCACGGAAUCAAGAAAGCAGCAAAGCAGAAGCAGAAAGCUCAAGCAAGGAAGAAAAAAGCCAGUACUCAACUUAUUCAGAAACAGGUAGCGAGUGCCCUCGAUGAAUACAAGAAAUAUGCACAUGUUGAUCGCACACGUGACAACAUUAAGUUUCUGAAAAAGAUUGACAAGAAAAGGGCACCCGCAGAGUAUAUUGAACAGAUUGCAAGUCAUCACUCUAAAGAGUUGGAUAGGAAGGGUGGUUGUCCUGAUCUUGGUCAGGGGCAGAAGAGUAAAAAACGUGGUUCAGAAGAAGCUUCUGUUUUCACCGAUGAAGAUUUUGAAAAGAUGAAUAAAGAUUGGCUGCGUCUCUACUGACUUCCUCAAUCUCCAUCAGUAAUCUCCAAAUUUGCAGAUCCAGUGCUUGGAAAUGAGCUACAAAUAGUGGGAAAUCGACUCUGGCCAAGAAAUUGCUGGAGGUCCUCCCCGACACAACAAGAAUCAUCUGCCAGGAUGACUAUUUCUACCCAGAAGACUCUCCUCAACACAUUCCCUGUCCAGGAGGCUUACC
rnacentral:misc_RNA from 1 species